rnacentral:rRNA from 1 species
UACGUAGGGCGCAAGCGUUAUCCGGAAUUAUUGGGCGUAAAGAGCUCGUAGGCGGUGUGUCGCGUCGGCCGUGAAAACCUGGGGCUUAACUCUGGGCGUGCGGUCGAUACGGGCAUCACUAGAGUUCGGCAGGGGAGACUGGAAUUCCUGGUGUAGCGGUGAAAUGCGCAGAUAUCAGGAGGAACACCGGUGGCGAAGGCGGGUCUCUGGGCCGAUGACUGACGCUGAGGAGCGAAAGCAUGGGUAGCGAACAGG